CACAAUUUCGACAAUGCCCAAACCCAACGCGGUUUCUUGUUCCAAGUCUCCCUCUCUCCCGCAAACGACUCUUCUAUUCUUUCGUCCUCUGUCCAUCUAUUAAAUCCUUAUUCUCCAUUGAUUUUUAAUCCUUCAUUUGCCUACAAACAAUCCAUACAGAUGUUUGUUGUGUAUUUAAUUUCUGAACGGAGGAAUUGAAUUGAAUUGAAAGGGGACAUGGGCUGUUUCAGCAGCAAGAGCGCCGAUUCUAAAGCGAGUCGGGUAACUCGGUGGCAGUCCACUGGCAUUGUCGCUUUGCGCGAUUGCAAAUUGAAGACAAUUCCGGAUGAAGUUAUUGAUCUAGAAAGAUCCGUUCGUACCCUUGAUUUAUCGCACAACAGAUUGGUUGAUAUUCCUAUGGAGAUAAGCAAAUUGAUUAAUUUGCAACGGCUGAUUUUAGCUGAUAACGUCAUUGAGCGUCUUCCAAUGAAUCUGGGGAAGCUUCAAUCUUUAAAAGUUAUGACCCUCGAUGGAAAUCGAGUUACCACAUUGCCUGAUGAAUUGGGGCAAUUGGUGAAACUAGAGCGGCUAUCAAUAUCUGGAAAUCUGCUACUGAAUUUGCCUGAAACGAUCGGGAGCUUGCGCAAUUUGGUGCUGUUAAAUGUGUCGAAGAACAAGCUAAACUUUCUUCCAGAGUCCAUUGGUAGUUGCUUCUCUCUGGAAGAAAUUCAAGCAAAUGAAAAUUCCAUCGAAGAGCUUCCUGCUUCAGUUUGCAAUCUCGUUCAUCUAAAAUCACUGUCCUUGAACAAUAAUAAUGUGAGGCAGGUACCUCCAGAUUUGUUGAAAGAAUGCAAAAGUCUGCAGAAUAUAUCACUCCAUGGCAAUCCCAUUGUUAUGGAUCAAUUUCAACAAGUGGGAUUAGUGUUUUUCUGUUUCUCUUUCACACCGCUCAAUGCACUUUUAAUAUCAAUAAUUGACAGUACCAUGCAACUUCUAUCUGUAAGUAAUCACCCAAGUUAUCUUUCAGAUGGAGGGAUUUCAGGAUUUUGAAUCCCGGAGGAAAAAGAAGUUUGACAAGCAAAUAGAUUCUAAUGUGAUGAUAAGUUCUAAAGGUCUUGAUGAGGGUGUUGAUCUAUGAAAUACUUGCAAUGACAAUUUUUAAGUCGAGUUUCUCAGCCAUGUUGGGUGGAGCCAUUUGAACAAGGCCAUGGCGCAGAUAUUUAUGGCUUAUGUAUUUAAAGAUUUAGAGCUGCAAAUGGUAUCACUUCUGUUCUGUGGCUGGUAUUUGAUCUUUGUGAAAUGCUGUGUACAUAAGCUGUAUGUAUGGGCCAACUUUCAAUAACACAUUUUAGUUUCUACUCACGGAAUGCCUAUUGGAGUAUAUUUCCUUGUCUUUUGCAAUUGUACAUGUAAGACUGCUUCAUUGAAUAAGAAACUGUUUUGAGCAGAUUUA